GAUGAACGCUGGCGGCGUGCCUAAUACAUGCAAGUCGAGCGAACUGAUUAGAAGCUUGCUUCUAUGACGUUAGCGGCGGACGGGUGAGUAACACGUGGGCAACCUGCCUGUAAGACUGGGAUAACUUCGGGAAACCGAAGCUAAUACCGGAUAGGAUCUUCUCCUUCAUGGGAGAUGAUUGAAAGAUGGUUUCGGCUAUCACUUACAGAUGGGCCCGCGGUGCAUUAGCUAGUUGGUGAGGUAACGGCUCACCAAGGCAACGAUGCAUAGCCGACCGGAGAGGGUGAUCGGCCACACUGGGACUGAGACACGGCCCAGACUCCUACGGGAGGCAGCAGUAGGGAAUCUUCCGCAAUGGACGAAAGUCUGACGGAGCAACGCCGCGUGAGUGAUGAAGGCUUUCGGGUCGUAAAACUCUGUUGUUAGGGAAGAACAAGUACAAGAGUAACUGCUUGUACCUUGACGGUACCUAACCAGAACGCCACGGCUAACUACGUGCCAGCCGCCGCGGUAAAAC
rnacentral:rRNA from 1 species